UAUUUUGUUGUUUCUUAUUGCACUUAAAACAGGUAAACAUGUCUGCUGACCAAAACUGUAACCAGGGUGCUGCUGAUUAUGGAUCAUUCUCAUGCACUCCAACUGAUGCACGGUUAUCACAGAGUGUCGGGACAAACCAAGAAGUUUCUUUGACCCAAGAUAAGUUUUUGAGAAGAUCUUCAUCUAGAAAACCUCUUAUGCAUCCAAGAUGGUAUUCAGAGAGUUUAUCUGGAAGCACAGAUCAAAUUGUUGAUGUCGCAAUUGCAUCGGAUGAUGAGAAUGAAAGUUUGUUACCCAAGCGGGAACUGAAUGAUAUUUCUAUUACUUUUAGUCGACAUAAAUAUUACAGCAAGUUGGUUGAUCCAUCAGAUACAAGGAUGAGAAUUCCAGAUCAUGUCUUGCCAUCAUCAUUCUUUUACAUCAUUCCAACAAAAACAACAGGAAAACAAAGCAGUGUGGUUACCAUUUUUGCAAUUUGGAAUACAAUGAUGGGAACUUCUCUUCUUUCAAUGCCUUGGGGUUUGGGGCAAGCUGGCUUUUUGUUUGGAAUCCUCUUGAUAUUGUUGUCAGCAAUGUUGACUCUGUAUACAGCUUUUCGUGUUCUGCAGUCCACAAAUACAUUAAGUUUUGAAGCAUUUGAAUUCUCAGAUGUUGUUUCGUUCUACCUUGGUAGAUACGGCGAAUGGGUUGCAAUUACUUUCUCUUUAGUAACAUUUCUUGGUGGAAUGAUUGUUUACUGGGUGUUGAUGACCAACUUCUUAUUCACAAGUGGAAUAUUUAUAUUUGAUAAAGCUCAUAGCAGCAAUAUCAGCAUGGAUAAGAACAGCAGUGAAGUAUUGUGUCCACACAACAAACCAACAACUAACAACACCAACAUUGAAGGUGUUAACGACAUGUGGAAUAUAUCUUUUACUGUUCCCAUAUACCUUGCUGUGUUGGUGUUUCCGCUCCUCAACUUUAAAUCUCCAACAUUCUUCACCAAGUUUAACUGCCUUGGAACAUUGUCUGUAUUCUUUCUUCUGGCGCUUGUUAUAACCAAGUCCAUCAAGUGGGGUUGGAACAUAGAAUACGCGGAAAUAAUGGAGUUCCGAAUCACUUUUCCUGCUUUAACUGGAAUGUUGUCUCUUGCAUUCUUCUUGCAUAAUGCUGCGAUUACGAUUGUGAAAAAUAACCAACAUCCCGAAAACAAUGUACGCGACUUAAGUAUUGGAUACCUAUUGACUGCCGUGACUUAUUUAUCUGUUGGUAUCUUGUUCUAUGCCUCGUUUCCUCUUCCAAAGAGUUGCAUAUCUUCAUUUACUUGUUUCAACAGAACCUCCUACAAAAUCUGUCGGUAUCUGACCCGUUUGCUGCUGGUGCAAGAGUGUUUCUUUUGUUUCAAAUGAUCACGGUUUUCCCGCUGCUUGCUUACAUGUUCAGAGCCAAUGCAUUAUAUGCGCUGUUUCAAACUGCUUGGCCAGGAAGAUGGCAUGUACUUUUGACAAACUUUGGUGUUUUGGUUGUAUGUGUUCUUAUAGCAAUGUUCUAUCCUCACAUUGGUGACAUCAUCAGGUACAGCGGUUCACUCUGUGGGCUUGUCUACAUCUUCUGCCUCCCAUCUGUUGUUUACAUGUUAUCUCUCAAAAUAUGCAAUAAACUUACCUUGCCACCUCUUAUAAUACAUGUAUGUAUCAUAUUACUUGGAGUCUUAAACUUCAUUGCACAGUUUAUCAUAACACCUUCAAAGUAAAUUCUUUGCACUAUUUUUACAUGUCUUUUACUGGUUUUUCUUGUGUUUUAACCAGAUUUCUUGCUCUCUUUUUCAGCAGUGGCUUUAUUGAUGUUUAUUUCCUAUUUUAAUCAAGGCAACAUACCUUAGUGUUAAUUGUAGCUAAAUAAUUGUUUUUAUUUGUUUUCGUAACUUUCUGUAUGACUCUUGUGGUUUUUAUGAUUUGAAGCAAAAUAUUUUUCAAAGAAAACUGUACACUAAAUCUCAUUAAAAUUUUAAAUAUUCAUGUUAGUUUAGUGCUGUUUUUUUAGCUUGUUGGAAACCAUUUUAGUGUUUUUUUUUGUGUUUUUUUUUGAGGUGCCUUCAUUUAUCAACAGUGUUCUGAUUCUCUUGAAUGUUUUUUUGUUUAAUUGGUUAAUAGUUUGUGGUAGCUGGUUCUGUGUGAAAUACAUUUGUUGUUUGUG